UGUUUUCAAAUGCACAUGUGAAUGCCAAGCAGUCCAGAGACCGCUCCAAAAGCAGGAAGCAGACUCUAGAGCAGGGCAUUCUGGGUAAAUACAA